GGUUAAGCGACUAAGCGUACACGGUGGAUGCCCUGGCAGUCAGAGGCGAUGAAGGACGUGCUAAUCUGCGAUAAGCGUCGGUGAGGUGAUAUGAACCGUUAUAACCGGCGAUUUCCGAAUGGGGAAACCCAGUGUGUUUCGACACACUAUCAUUAACUGAAUCCAUAGGUUAAUGAGGCGAACCGGGGGAACUGAAACAUCUAAGUACCCCGAGGAAAAGAAAUCAACCGAGAUUCCCCCAGUAGCGGCGAGCGAACGGGGAGGAGCCCAGAGCCUGAAUCAGUGUGUGUGUUAGUGGAAGCGUCUGGAAAGGCGCGCGAUACAGGGUGACAGCCCCGUACACAAAAAUGCACAUACUGUGAGCUCGAUGAGUAGGGCGGGACACGUGGUAUCCUGUCUGAAUAUGGGGGGACCAUCCUCCAAGGCUAAAUACUCCUGACUGACCGAUAGUGAACCAGUACCGUGAGGGAAAGGCGAAAAGAACCCCGGCGAGGGGAGUGAAAAAGAACCUGAAACCGUGUACGUACAAGCAGUGGGAGCCUCUUAAUGGGGUGACUGCGUACCUUUUGUAUAAUGGGUCAGCGACUUAUAUUCUGUAGCAAGGUUAACCGAAUAGGGGAGCCGAAGGGAAACCGAGUCUUAACUGGGCGUUAAGUUGCAGGGUAUAGACCCGAAACCCGGUGAUCUAGCCAUGGGCAGGUUGAAGGUUGGGUAACACUAACUGGAGGACCGAACCGACUAAUGUUGAAAAAUUAGCGGAUGACUUGUGGCUGGGGGUGAAAGGCCAAUCAAACCGGGAGAUAGCUGGUUCUCCCCGAAAGCUAUUUAGGUAGCGCCUCGUGAAUUCAUCUCCGGGGGUAGAGCACUGUUUCGGCAAGGGGGUCAUCCCGACUUACCAACCCGAUGCAAACUGCGAAUACCGGAGAAUGUUAUCACGGGAGACACACGGCGGGUGCUAACGUCCGUCGUGAAGAGGGAAACAACCCAGACCGCCAGCUAAGGUCCCAAAGUCAUGGUUAAGUGGGAAACGAUGUGGGAAGGCCCAGACAGCCAGGAUGUUGGCUUAGAAGCAGCCAUCAUUUAAAGAAAGCGUAAUAGCUCACUGGUCGAGUCGGCCUGCGCGGAAGAUGUAACGGGGCUAAACCAUGCACCGAAGCUGCGGCAGCGACACUAUGUGUUGUUGGGUAGGGGAGCGUUCUGUAAGCCUGCGAAGGUGUGCUGUGAGGCAUGCUGGAGGUAUCAGAAGUGCGAAUGCUGACAUAAGUAACGAUAAAGCGGGUGAAAAGCCCGCUCGCCGGAAGACCAAGGGUUCCUGUCCAACGUUAAUCGGGGCAGGGUGAGUCGACCCCUAAGGCGAGGCCGAAAGGCGUAGUCGAUGGGAAACAGGUUAAUAUUCCUGUACUUGGUGUUACUGCGAAGGGGGGACGGAGAAGGCUAUGUUGGCCGGGCGACGGUUGUCCCGGUUUAAGCGUGUAGGCUGGUUUUCCAGGCAAAUCCGGAAAAUCAAGGCUGAGGCGUGAUGACGAGGCACUACGGUGCUGAAGCGACAAAUGCCCUGCUUCCAGGAAAAGCCUCUAAGCAUCAGGUAACAUCAAAUCGUACCCCAAACCGACACAGGUGGUCAGGUAGAGAAUACCAAGGCGCUUGAGAGAACUCGGGUGAAGGAACUAGGCAAAAUGGUGCCGUAACUUCGGGAGAAGGCACGCUGAUAUGUAGGUGAAGUCCCUCGCGGAUGGAGCUGAAAUCAGUCGAAGAUACCAGCUGGCUGCAACUGUUUAUUAAAAACACAGCACUGUGCAAACACGAAAGUGGACGUAUACGGUGUGACGCCUGCCCGGUGCCGGAAGGUUAAUUGAUGGGGUUAGCGCAAGCGAAGCUCUUGAUCGAAGCCCCGGUAAACGGCGGCCGUAACUAUAACGGUCCUAAGGUAGCGAAAUUCCUUGUCGGGUAAGUUCCGACCUGCACGAAUGGCGUAAUGAUGGCCAGGCUGUCUCCACCCGAGACUCAGUGAAAUUGAACUCGCUGUGAAGAUGCAGUGUACCCGCGGCAAGACGGAAAGACCCCGUGAACCUUUACUAUAGCUUGACACUGAACAUUGAGCCUUGAUGUGUAGGAUAGGUGGGAGGCUUUGAAGUGUGGACGCCAGUCUGCAUGGAGCCGACCUUGAAAUACCACCCUUUAAUGUUUGAUGUUCUAACGUGGGCCCGUAAUCCGGGUUGCGGACAGUGUCUGGUGGGUAGUUUGACUGGGGCGGUCUCCUCCUAAAGAGUAACGGAGGAGCACGAAGGUUGGCUAAUCCUGGUCGGACAUCAGGAGGUUAGUGCAAUGGCAUAAGCCAGCUUGACUGCGAGCGUGACGGCGCGAGCAGGUGCGAAAGCAGGUCAUAGUGAUCCGGUGGUUCUGAAUGGAAGGGCCAUCGCUCAACGGAUAAAAGGUACUCCGGGGAUAACAGGCUGAUACCGCCCAAGAGUUCAUAUCGACGGCGGUGUUUGGCACCUCGAUGUCGGCUCAUCACAUCCUGGGGCUGAAGUAGGUCCCAAGGGUAUGGCUGUUCGCCAUUUAAAGUGGUACGCGAGCUGGGUUUAGAACGUCGUGAGACAGUUCGGUCCCUAUCUGCCGUGGGCGCUGGAGAACUGAGGGGGGCUGCUCCUAGUACGAGAGGACCGGAGUGGACGCAUCACUGGUGUUCGGGUUGUCAUGCCAAUGGCACUGCCCGGUAGCUAAAUGCGGAAGAGAUAAGUGCUGAAAGCAUCUAAGCACGAAACUUGCCCCGAGAUGAGUUCUCCCUGACCCUUUAAGGGUCCUGAAGGAACGUUGAAGACGACGACGUUGAUAGGCCGGGUGUGUAAGCGCAGCGAUGCGUUGAGCUAACCGGUACUAAUGAACCGUGAGGCUUAACCUU
rnacentral:rRNA from 1 species